AGUGCUUUAAAGCUUUUGAUAACAAAAAAUAAGGGAAUUAUAUAAAUGCAAUAAGUAUGAUUUGUGAGAUUUAUUUCUUAAGGAUAAAUGCAGUUAUAUACAGGGAUUCAUUUAUAAGUUUAUAACACAAUAAAAAUUAAUAGUGUUUUUUUUGUUCAAGUAGGGUUUCUUGUUUUAUUUCUUUGUUGUAAAUGGCAUGUCAUAUCAGAGUUUUUCUUAUGUAUUUCCAUGUAAACCAUGUAAAGAGCAUUCACGUAAUAAUCUGAUGUUUACAUGUGCUAUAUUUGCUAUCUAUUUCGACAGAAGUUUAAAUAGGGAAAAAAAGAAAACAUUAUAACAGUUUAUAUAAAAAUCUGAUCAUUUCUCUAUCUGUAUGCAUCCUUUCAAGAAGGCAGCAUACAGCAGUCACACUGUUGGUCUUUCUUUAUUUACGCCUGGGUGAUGUUUCCUAUCUUAUCCAUAACUUUGCCUUAAGAUUGCCGUGGUGUAGUGGAUAUGGUGUCCGCCUAGCGAUCGGGAGGUCAUGGGUUCAAUCCCCACUGUGGGAGCGUUCUUUAGAUCUCCCGCAAAGACACCAAGAAAACGGACUCAAGAGUGUUUCAUAUAAGCUUAGGCUUGUUAUGCAAUCGAGCUUAAAUAAAUAGGUUUAAAAGAAAAAUUUAAAAAAAUUGCCAUAUAACUUUUUGAUUGUAUAUGACUUAUUAAUUGCCACUCAAGUCCACCAUCCUAUAACAACAUGUCCCAUGUAACAACUGUCUCCUAAAAAAUUAAACAGUCCAGGCCACACUUAUAUGUCAAGGCCAAACUUAUAGGUCAAGACCACACUUAUAGGUCAAGGCCACACUUAUAGCUCAAGGCCAUACUUAUAGAUCAAGGCCACACUUAUAGAUCAAGGCCACACUUAUAGGUCAAGGCCACACUUAUAGAUCAAUGCCACACUUAUAGAUCAAGGCCACACUUAUAGAUCAAGGUCACACUUAUAGGUCAAUGCCACACUUAAAGGUCAAAGGCCAAAUAUGGCUUUAAAACAGGUUUUACAAUUUUUGUCUCUGGCAUACAUUUCCUAUAUAUUGAUGGAUGUUAAAACUUGGCAUAAAGGCAAUCCAUUAUACAACAACAAGCCAGUCUUCUCUCUACCUCAAAGGUCAAGGUGAAGGUUAGAGAUCAAGUUGGCAAUAAAACAACUUGUCCAGUCUGUUGUGUUGUCAUUCUUCAUGCAAUUUAAAAAUAACCACAAUUGACCACAUUAAGUACUGGCUGUUGCAUGUAUCACUUGUCUUAUUGACUAAGGUUCAAGGUCAUACUGAAAGGUCAAAAGUCAAGAUUGGCAAUACACAGCAUGUUUGGGAUUAAGUGGAGUUUUAAAACAAAAGUGGAAUGUGGGGGCAUCCCUGCCAUAUGGAUACAUGGCUUGUCUGUUACUAGAUCAUAGUUUUGUUAUGUGUGUUCCCACUCAAAAUUCUGUUUGUCAAUCUAAUUGCUAAAUGAGUUAUCUCAGGCACAGGAGAUUUUUUUUGAUUUUUUAAACAAAUAUGACUUUUGUGUGAUACUGUGUAUACUGUGUAAUAUAUUUUGUGCAUUAUAUUAAUAUGUACACAGUUUGUGAUAUUUUUUGUGAAGUUUGUGGGUUUUUUUUGUAUUUAUUAUGUGAUAUGUGAUGUGAUAAAAAAUUUAUAUUUUCUUCCAGUUCUAUAUGUUAAACUGGAAGGAACUUUUCCAACCUAUAUCAUUCUGCUCAACUGAAAUUGCGUUUACAAUCACAUGAACUUUGGUAUACAGAUUAAUCCUUUGCAUGCUGGGAAAUUUUUGUCUGCUAAAAUAUCAUCUUCUGAAUUUUUAAAAUUAGCAUUUUCUUCGAUUUUUCUUCAGAAUAGCAAACAGUUUGGAUCCUGAUGAGACGCCAUGUUCUGUGGUGUCUCAUCUGGAUCCAAACUGUUUGCAAAGUCCUUUAAAAUUCGGUUCCAGAGCUGAAAGGGUUAAAUGUUGCAACAGGGGGUUCUACUGACCUUUCAUUUGAAACAGGUCAAGUGCUGCACCUGUAAAUGUAUAUGUUCAAAGGAAAGAUAUUGUUGGAUUUGUAUAUGAAGUCUAUAAAAAAAAAUUUUUUAAUCCAGUAUGCAUAGUUUUUAAUGCUUUGUUCAUUUAUAGUUAUUGUUUGUCUACUAUUUUCAAUAGAUAUGGCAUUUUUACAAUCAUUCAUAUUUUCUUAUGUUAUUUAAUAUUUAUUAUUCCACGCCAAAGGCAGAGGGAUAUAGAUUGGGAUGAUCUGUAAGUUUGUUAAUCUGUCUGUCCGUCAGUCUGUUAAUACGCCGUCUGUCAUAAACAUUCCAGAGCUAGAUCUCAGAAACUAUAUAAGGUAUCCACAUGCAGCUUCAUAGUUGUAUAUGAGUUGUGUUCUGAGAAAACUGGGCAUAAUGCAUGUGUGUAAAGUGUCAUCCCAGAUUAGCCUGUGCAGACUAAUCAGGAACUACAUUUUCCGCCUAAAUAAGAUGUUUGCUAAGAAGAUACUUCAUUUAAAUGACAAAUGUCAUAAGAGAGGAAAGUGUCGCCACUGAUUAGCCUGUGCAGACUGCACAGGCUUAUCUGGGACAACACUUAACACAUAUGCAUUAUGCCCAGUUUUCUCAGAACACGACUCAUAUUGUUUAGAAGUGCCAUGCACAAGAACCAUAUCCCUACACUUUCUGAUAUAAGAGUUAUUGCCCUUUGUUUUCUGAAUGGUGUAGUUUUUAGGGCUAUAUAUCUCAGAUACAAUACAAGAUUUCAACAUGAAAGGGUGCAUUGAUAUCAAUGAAGAGAAGGUGCAUUGAUAUCAAUGAAGAGAAGUUCCAUGCUUAAAAACCAGUUAAAAGAGUUAUUGCUCUUUGUUGUUUUUGUAUGAUGUAACUUUAAAGGACUAUAUCUCAGAUAAGACACAGUGUUUCAACAUCAAAUUUCAAGCGUGUAUAGAUAUCAAUAAGGAGAAUUGCCUGGCACCAUAAUCGUUACCAUACUCUUUCUAAAAUAAGAGUUAUUGCCCUUUGUUGUUUUUUUAUGAUGUAACAUUUCAGGGCUAUAUCUCAGAUACACUACAAGAUUUCUACAUGAAACUUCAUGGGUGUAUGGAUUGCAAUGAAGAGCAUUGCAAUGCAUAAAAACAAUUACCCUUAAUUAUAUUAUUCUUUUUAUGAUGUACCAGAUAUCAAGAGAUUGCACCCAUCCAUAAACAAAAUGUUUGGUGGGGGAUAUCAAUUAAAUGAAUUUGCUUGUAAUUAUAUUUUCAAUUGUUUUACUAUUUUCUUUAUCCAGAGCAUAUUAACUUCUUUUGAUAUUGACUGAUGAUAUUAAAUAUGUAUUUAAUUGAUUUUCAAUUUUCAUAAAUCAUGAUAUUGUAUUCAAGCUCAAUAUUAUAUAAAAUCUAUACAGUUCUGUGUAUUUUUGAAACGUUUACAUAUGUUUAUUGUUAAAGAUAUACAUGCCUCAGAACUCAAAUUGAUAUUUAACAACUUUACAUGAUUGUUGUUUCCUUUAUGCAUUAUUAUUUAUGUUCCCUCAUAUAUAAUGCAUUUGGUAUUUGUUUUUUUGUAAUUAAUGCCAAUGUCUCUUUUUAAUUAACAGGUUAAGACAUUAAAUAUUUCAAUUUAAAUAUAUUUAAAUAAUGGUGAUUUUUGUAUAUCAGUGUUAAAGUGCAUGUGUUUAGAACCUAUUAUUUAUGAAAACAGUUUUUUAAUUUGUAUCCCUUUAAAUUAGUUGUAAUAUGUUGUGGUAUGUAGGUAUAGUAUUCCUUCAUUUGUACAAUAUUGAAUUUACUUACAACAAAACAAUUAAGUCUUCUACUUUUUUAUGAAGUUCAUUAAAUGAAUGCUCUUUUGGUCUAAACAGCUUUGUUAAAGUCUUGUAUGCAUGAUUGCAGACAACUGAAAUUUUUGCUGUAUUUGAUAGUAUGUGAUAAUGCAUUUAUGUAAUUUAUUUUCUAUGAUUUUUGCAAACUCAUUCAUUAUUCCACCACUUGAUAAGGAGGGAGGGGGAAUGUAAUCUUGCAAACCUCCAUAUUUUGGUUUGAAUAUUUUCAGCUGAACCCUUUACCACUAAGAUACUUAUUUUUACAUGUACACAUUUGGUCCCUUAGAAAGUUAAAUUUCAUUAAAGACCUUUCUUACUAGAUUCAAGUUUUAAAGGCUUCAUUUCAUGAGCAGCAAACAGCAUAAAACCUGAACAGACUGCGAGUCACUCACAGGCUGUUCUGGUUUUAUGUUGGUUGCAAAAGACAUUUUCACUUCUGAUAUGGGAAAGGGUUACACAAGGUCUAGGAAAUAAUAUCAUGUUAAACUUGUGUUCGCUGUAACUAAAAAACAUUGCUGCUACAGGACUGAAACAUUGCAUACAUAGCAACCAGCAUGUGAACUUUGGCGCCCCACAUAUUUGUUCGCUAGUUCUUGACACAACUGGACCCAUCUUCACCAAACAAUUCUUAGACUUAAGUCUUAGGAUAAAAAAUAUUCUUUAAAUUGAUAUAUUAAAGAAUUGCUUGAAUUUUGAGUGAAACUUGGCAUUAAACACCUCUAUCUAUAUCAUUCUUCAUGUAGAACAUUUUGUUCAUGACAUCAUCACCAGCUGAGGCCUGUAUAAAUUCAAACACUGAAUGCAUUUUCUUGGUUCAAAGUCUAUUUGUUAUCCUUAAGUCUAAGAAUGGGUUGGUGAAUACGAGCCCGGCGUAAUCCCCACCCUUGAAUCAUUCUGAAGAUUAUCUAUAAAACACCAAGAACUGGUUGUUCUAAGGACUUUAGAGUCUGAAUAAGGGCAAGGCUGUUAAGGGAAUCAAGCUCAAUUUAUUAGUUUUAAGAAAACUCACACCAAAAUGUGCAAUUAAUUGGUUUAAAUUGUUACAUUGACACUUGAAAUUAGCCGUCCCCAGUUAAGUGUAAGUCUUAAGUCAGAAUGGGUCAGUGUAUACGGGCCCGGUAGGUAUAGCCCCUUUUGGGGAAUCAGUGUCCUGCUUGCACAUAUGUAGUUGCACUUGCUUGACGCAGACUGUGCAGGCUUAUGUGGGACAACACUUUUCCCAGAGCAAGGCUCAAAGAAGCUUAUUGUAUUGAAUUGUAUGGUUGUCUGUAUUGUAUUGAAGUGUAUGGUUGUCUAUAUUGUAUUGAAUUGUAUGGUUGUCUGUGUUGUAUUGAAUUGUAUGGUUGUCUAUAUGUUGUAUUGAAUUGUAUGGUUGUCUGUGUUGUAUUGAAGUGUAUGGUUGUCUGUGUUGUAUUGAAUUGUAUGGUUGUCUGUAUUGUAUUGAAUUGUAUGGUUGUCUGUGUGGAAUUGAAUUGUAUGAUUGUCUGUAUUGUAUUGAAUUGUAUGGUUGUCUGUAUGGUAUUGAAUUGUAUGGUUGUCUGUAUUGUAUUGAAUUAUAUGGGUUGUCUGUGUGGUAUUGAAUUGAAUUGUAUGCUUGUCUGUAUUGUAUUGAAUUAUAUGGUUGUCUGUGUGGUAUUGAAUUGUAUGGUUGUCUGUAUUGUAUUGAAUUGUAUGGUUGUCUGUGUGGUAUUGAAUUGUAUGGUUGUCUAUAUUUGUUGUAUUGAAUUGUAUGGUUAUCUAUAUUUUUCAUUGAAUUGUAUGGUUGUCUAUAUUUGUUUUAUUAAAUUGUAUGGUUGUCUGUGUUGUAUUGAAUUGUAUGGUUUUCUAUAUUUUUAUACACUUUUUUACAUGUGUAAACAAUCAAACACGUUGAAACAAUCUUGGAAAAAUGCUAUAAUUAUUGCAUGAUAAUUAUUUAUGAAAAUAAUUUUAUUGAUAUAUAAAAAAGAUAAAAUGAAAUGUGUAUCUGGAGAAAUGGUUUUACUAAAUAUAUGUGUUUUUUAUUGUCUGUUUAGUAAUGUCAUAUUACUCUUUGUAAAGAUCUUGUUUACAUAUAUACAUAAACAAAAUAAUUUCUAUGUCUAUAAAUGUAUUUGUUUAUACUCAACCUUAUUUAUUAAUGAUGAAAUAUACAUUAAUCAAUAUGAUUAGUUUACAUUCAUACUCAAAUUGAUGUUUAAGAAGCUAAUAAUAUUAGGACAAUCAUUCUUAUUUAAGUUUAUACUAGCUGUGUAUUUAAAUCAACUUCUCAAUAACAGGUUGAAUUACGCUACUCACCUAUUUGUUGGCAUCAUCUUGAAAACCUAUGCAGUUUGUAUGAAACUAAGGAAAUCUGCAACUGGUACAUAUAUUUUGCUGAAUGAACACUUAUAAUAUUUGUUGGAUCAUGAUUGUACAAGGUCACAUUGAUCAUGAUAAAGGUCACAUGGACCAUCAUACAAGGUCACAUGGACCAUCAUACAAGGUCACAUGGAUCAUCAUGCAAGGUCACAUGGAUCAUCAUACAAGGUCACAUGGAUCAUCAUACAAGGUCACAUGAAUCAUUAUACAAGGUCACGUGGAUCAUUAUACAAGGUCACAUGAAUCAUUAUACAAGGUCACAUUAACCGUCAUACUAGUUCACAUGGUUCAUGAUUCAAGGUCACACGGACCAUUAUACAAGGUCAUAUGGAUCAUUGUACAAGGUCACAUGUAUCAUGAUACAAGGUCACAUGUAUCAUGAUAUAAGGUCACAUUGAUCAUGAUACAAGGUCACAUGGAUCACAGAACUAGGUCAAAUGGAUUAUGAUACUAGGUCACAUGGACCAUCAUACAAGGUCACAUGGAUCAUGAUACAAGGUCACAUGGAUCACAGUUCAAGGUCACAUGGAUCACAGUUCAAGGUCACAUGGAUCAUGAUACAAGGUCACAUGGUUCAUGAAACAAGGUCAAAUUGAUCUGGAUACAAGAUCACAUUGUUCGAGAUACAAGGUCAAAUGGAUAAUGAUACAAGGUCACACUGAUUGUUACACAAGGUCACAUGAAUCAUAAUAUAAUGGAAGAUAAAUUGCCAGCUGUCAAGGAACCAAAACUGAUUUAUUAAUUUACACACAGAAGUCUUACUCGUGGUAAUAAAUGAGGAUUAUAUCUUAAAUAAGAUAGUUGACAGAGCAAUUUUUUACCGGUUUUUGGCAAUUUGUCAAUGUUAUCCUUGUCUCGGAAACGUACUGUAUCAGUGUACUUCAGACGUUCAAUAUAAAUUGCCCUUAAGGUUAUUAUUUUCAAACACUUAAUGAAAUAAGAGUAAAAAGUCGAGUGUACUGAGCAAAGGCUCUUUCUUGUUUCUUUUUUAAAUUUCUUUAUUAUUGUUUUUUUCUUAAUUCUGUAACAAAUAUACUUAUAUCUCAAAUGAA